rnacentral:rRNA from 1 species
GACGAACGCUGGCGGCGUGCUUAACACAUGCAAGUCGAACGGAAAGGCCCUGCUGUUGUGGGGUGCUCGAGUGGCGAAAGGAUGAGUAACACGUGAGUAACCUGCCCUUGACUUUGGGAUAACUUCAGGAAACUGGGGCUAAUACCGGAUAGGAGCUCCUGCUUCAUGGUGGGGGUUGGAAAGUUUCGGCGGUUGGGGAUGGACGCGCGGCUUAUCAGCUUGUUGGUGGGGUAGUGGCUUACCAAGGCUUUGACGGGUAGCCGGCCUGAGAGGGUGACCGGCCACAGUGGGACUGAGAUACGGCCCAGACGCCUACGGGAGGCAGCAGUGGGGAAUAUUCCACAAUGGGCGGAACCCCGAUGCAGCAACGCCGCUUGCGAGAUGACGGCCUUCGGGUUGUAAACCGCUUUCGCCUGUGACGAAGCGUGAGUGACGGUAAUGGGUAAAGAAGCGCCGGCUAACUACGUG